GUGUAAUGAUGUCAAAGUGAAAGCUUGUCAGAGUGUAUGUCGGUUAUGGUGAUGCUUUUGUGUUUCAGAAUAAACUCGGGGACACUGCUCUGCACGCUGCUGCCUGGAAGGGGUAUUCUGACAUUGUGGAAAUGUUGCUCCGCAAAAAUCCAAGGACAGACAUCAGGAACAAUGAGAAAAAGCUGGCUCAAGAGAUGGCCACUGACGCAAUGUGUGCUUCACUUCUCAAAAGGAAGCAAGGAGGCAACAUCACCCGCACACUCAGCAACGCUGAAGAGUAUUUGGAUGACGAGGACUCAGACUGAUCUGGCGCUGUUGAGACAUCAUCACCGUCUUCCAUUUGGUUUGUGGGGCCUUGGAGCUCAGAGAGUUUUAUUACAGACCUAAAAUGGAUUUGCUGCUCUGUUUCCAACUGUAACUCCAUUUUAGUUCCGUUAUUUUGUGCAAACACCUCAGUUCUUGGCCCUCUGCGUCACGUCAGGGAGAAUUUCAGAGCAUUGAAUUGAUGCGUUUUAUAGUUUUUGCCAAGUGCAUUUCCUUAUGUGGGGGAUUUGUCUUGGAUGUUGCACACUGUGGACUGAGGGGCAGAGUAUAUGUUGCAGUGGAAAACGGACCAGCUCUAAGAAACACAUUCCAAACAUACAGAUUGUGUUCAACCCAUUUACACUGGGCAUUAAAGUGCCGGUGCAGAUUAAAAGAUUGAUCUGGUCUGUGUGUGUCAAAUUUUAAUGCUCCGUGUAAAUUACUGAACUACAAACUCGCCCAAAAGGAAUCAUAAACACAUUAUCUCUUGCAUCUUGGAGCUCUAUCACAACUAGGAACAAUUUAAAUCUGUUUAUGUACAUCAGUCGGAGACAAUGCAACGUGAAUUUAACUUAAAUAUUUCCCCUUUUUACCUGUUGUCUUUGUCAAAUUAAGGGUGUGAGUAAUGUGCUUUAACAGACCUAAUAGGGGAAAUGUUUCUCUAAACUGUUGUAUGGCAGCAAUCUCCCUCCCCUUCCUUCAUAAUGUCAUGAAACUCAUCUGUUACUCUGCACUGCACGUAUUUUGGUCUGUGUUAUAACACCACUGCUAUUAAAGAUCAGUUCAGUGUAAUUUUAAAAAAUCUGCCUUGUGUAAAACAGACUUAAAAUUAUUCUCAUCUUUGAAGCUUUUGAUGGUGAGAUUUCCAUCCUGGGAGCAAAUUUCUGGUUUUAUUGCUGCUUUCCAACAGAUUUUAUAUAUAUAUAUAUAUAAAAAAGUGCCUUAAAUAUCUGUAACAUAGCGAGUGUGUAUUUGGUUAUGUGUCAAUGUGAACCUGCUUUUUUCUUCAAGAUUUCUAUCUGCUCUCUCUUCAAUCUACAAUAAAAGAUUUUAACUUAAAA